UACGGGAGGCAGCAGUGGGGAAUAUUGCGCAAUGGGGGAAACCCUGACGCAGCCAUACCGCGUGGAUGAAGAAGGCCUUAGGGUCGUAAAGUCCUUUCAGUAAGGAAAAAAAUCUUGGCAUUAAUAGUGUCAGGACUUGAUGUUACUUACAGAAGAAGCACCGGCUAACUCCGUGCCAGCAGCCGCGGUAA
rnacentral:rRNA from 1 species